GUUUGGGGGUAGGGCUCGUACCGGCUGCGCGGCGGCGGCCCCGGCGGGCGCUCGAGGAGGCUAGGCGGGGGCGGCCGCCUCGGGCCGCUCGGCGAGAGGGAGAGGGCGCCGAUGGAGAGCGAGGCGGUCCGCCCGGGGCGGUCGCUCCUCCUGCGGAGGGGGCGCGGCCGCGGGCCGCUGUCCACGUCCCGCUACUACCUCCACCACUCCUUCCUAUUGCCCCGCCCGCCCCUCCUGCCGUUCACCUUCCACAGGUUCGACCACCACCUCGUGUUGGUGCCCGACCUUCGCCGCCGAUGCCCACUCCGACGGGGGAGGCGCCGGCGCCGGCGCGGCCGCGAGCCCUACCUCAAGCUGAGGCAGGUCCUGCGGUUCCCGAAGAUGAUGCCGAUGCCGCUCUCCCGGCCCAAGUUCCGCGCGUGGCCGAGGUUGGCGGCGAGCCGGCCGUGCCCCCCGUACUAGUACGUCGCCAAGGAGACGACGUCUCCGUUAAUGAGCAUAUCCUUCCCAUUAUUUCGAUUCCUAAGCCUACGGCGGUUCCUCCACCUCCUCCCGCGACGCCCCCUUCCCCGUCCCCUUCCCCUUCCCUUCCAACCCCGGGGAUUCUUCUCCCCGGCGUUCGGGCCCUUCUUCUCGCGCGGCCACUAGCUCCACCCCUCGAGCCACCUCUUCCCACGACGUUAUCGUCCGCGUCUCUUACCCGUUCGUCACGGAUCAUUCCUCUUAAACCCCUCUCCACCCCUAUUCUUCCUACAACGCCUCUUCCUACAGCUCAGACAGCAGGUUGAACUCCUUCUUGUACAACUCGACCUCCUACAACGUGUCCUACCACGGGUACUGGAGCCACGGCCGCUGCUACGAUUAAGACUACGACUACUCCCACUUUACCUUUUCCUCCACCUCCAGUUCCUUUUCUCUCCCUCUCCCUCCGGCUCUUUCCGACAGUGUCUCCCGUUACGGGACGUCCGUACACACAGCUGCCUGGAACCACACUGCCGCAGCGUCACGCGACAACUACUCUCUUUCUUCUAUGAAUUAUUCAUAGAGAGCUUCUCUGUCUCGUCUGGACGGAGCCCGUCUGGGCGGUUCUAAUAGAGUGCGGUUCGAAACCGCCUUUCCGCAUUCUCUCCACUACCUCCAUCUAAAGACCGUUCGCUGCCUGGCGACGGCAAUCUUUCCGCUAGCUUUGCAGAACUCUUCGUUUUAGAAGUUUUACUUUUCUUCGGACUCUCAUUUCUUCUACUUUAUCAACUUCGCCUUGUCCUAGGUCUUUGACUUCAUCAUCGACCCGGACCUCCUCUCGGUUUUCAACCAUACCAAAAGGACUUACUUCUGUUCCGAAUGCUCAAAAUACAGUCGAUACGACCUUGACGUCCUAAGUUACAGGCUUUUCCUACGAGACUCUUUUGUCGUUUAUUACAAUGCUUUAGAGCCCGAAUACAUACAAGAUUUCUCCCUAAGGCGGGAUUUUCAAAAUGACGGCUCGGUUUCUUUGUUGCUCGUCUUUGUUCUUGACCGACACUUCGUGUGUACUGACAAUUUUAGUGAUGAUCGCCGUUUAUACAUCACUGUCUCACACACCGACUAGUAUUAGUACUAGAACUUCGAGGACACCACCUGUAAGUCUAAGACUCUAGUGUCUUCAAUAAUCGUUUCAAUGUCGUCGGAGGUCUAGGUGGUUUUCAACAAAACUAUGGUUUACUGAUAUUUUUAAUACAAUCCUGUUCCGUGUGCUGCCUAUACGUUAACCCGCUACGAGCCCGUUAAAGACUUAUAAAUGUCUCCUACUUUCCGCUCUUAGGAAGUAAGAAGACAAGGUAAGUUCACCUACUUCUGCUGGUUAAGUCUUUACAUAAGACCCGUCUACAAUUUAGUCACUACCUGAAAUUGAUGAAGCCACUACAUCAUACACAACUGUGUUCCAUAUCGUAUUCACUAAUAACAUCCGGAGACAACAACAAGUAACCUCAAUUGGUAGUAUUCGUCGGUUGGUAUAAACCAUGUCGUAAAUAAAUACUACUUAGUCAGCUUAGGAAGUUCACCAACAAACUUUGAAAGUUCAGACGAUACUCACCUUUCGUCGGUUCUUGUCAAAACUGACUAGCGAGAUGUCGUUAUUCGCUACGUCAACGAAGACGAACCGGUCCCUGACGAGUAGCGAAGAGUGACAACGUAAACAUAGUUUUACGGUGGUUCCAUGAUUCGCUAUGUAAGGUUCCCAGCCUUUGAAAACGGGUACUAAAAUCAGCCAGAAACAUACUGAUACUCCUCCUCCCCCUGAAAAACAGAUCGACCCUUUAGGAGAACCGCUUCAUGUUAGACUUUCUGUUGUUCACCGAUUCAUUUAACAUACUCCUAUCUCUUUCUACCCGAAACGGAAUACCCGCACUAUAUAAGACACGUCUAUAACGUCGGUGUGAGGCUUCACUAUUGUACCUACGGUAGGACUGUCCACAAGAGUUUUGUCUUUAUCUAGAAGGUAUGAAGAAAUUGUCUAUACUAUUUAAAAAUCUCCUCUUUGCAGAUCGACUUGUUCUUCGACUGAUGGAACCUCAAGUUUACUGUGUCUCCCAUGGUGGAGACGCCAAUGAAACCGUUCGACGAUUAUGUAUAUGAGGACGUGACAAACUCGACAAGUCCAAUCUUAAACUUGACCAGAACCGGACGUACCAAAUAACGACACCACUUUAACCUGGUUAUAGGCUCAUACUCCAUUGACAGUUUUUGUCUGGAGUUCAAGUAAAACAAUCUAAACUGAGUAGUCUUAUAUACCAGGAAACAUCGACGUUCUUCAAACUUAAACAUCCGGAAGGUACGACGGUACGUGACUUUCAAGAACUCUAUUUUUUAUAAUUUCUUGAAGGUGGUGUUAUAUAAAACUUUUCUACCGCUUUCCUACGAGUCUCACUUAGAGGUUUCCUCUUGAAGCCAAAACGACGACACCUACUUCUAGGGUUCAAGUGCUACAGAUUUGCCGUGUUAAGCGACAUAGCUUGAAAUAUAUUUCACCGUCGUUUCCGACGUCUUUUGUAACUUCCAGUCUCUAAAUACCUCUCGGUUAUACUAGUCGAGGACCUCGUUCAACUCGAAGAAAACGUUCGUUUCAACGUACUGUUCGGAAGGAAUUCGUGAUAGUACUCUUCAGUUGUCGGUUUAAACGGAGUCUUACUAUGGUCGUUGUCACUUGGAGCGUCUCGUUCAUCAUUUUUUUUAUUUUUACACCUCUUAGCAGCGGUCGUCGUUUCAGGAGAACUUAGUUCAUUUUUCUUUUUUCCAUCUGUUCCAGAUCACCUCGGACUCCUCCGACUUGACGGUGAAUCCCAAGAACGAGGGUGUUAUAGCUUACUGUAGGGUUUAGUGUACUCAUGAGGUUGGUUAGUCAAGGAACGAGGUUCAGUAGACUACGUCCGUGGUAUACAAUGUGUCGUCAAACCAGAAUUAAGAGAAGUUCCUAAAAGACCUUACAGCGGUAAACCCGUCUACGUCCUUGUUAGUGUACAAGUAGAAGUCGUUGGAGUAGAUGUUGUUGGUGGGAAAGUACCUCCAGGAGUUCUCGUGGUUCACUAAGAUGUAAAUACGUAAUGAGAUACCAACCAAUAUGGACACAACAGGAAGGGUUCCCUAAAAUGAGGUGAGUAAAGAAGUUGUCAACGAUCCCGGGGGGAGGUCUACAGGUCAGUAACGUCAAAGAAUCGUCGUUAAGAGUCAACCCGGUGGUCUGGUGGCUAGUUCCGGUCAUGAGGUAGCGGCAUACCCUAAAGGACACUACAUCGUACACAAAUACGGUCUUAUAUC
rnacentral:rRNA from 1 species